CUUGAGAAUCGACGGCAUUCGACGGACCUUCGGUAAACAAACAUGGCUGCUCAUCAGAAGCAGACCAGCAGCGGCGGCGGUCAUACACCUCGUAAGAAAGUUCAGGUAUCCUACGUCAUCAGAGAUGUGGUUGAGAGGCAACAUCGAUCCGGUGUCAACUCUCUCCAGUAUGACCCCUAUCUUAACCGGCUGUACUCUGCAGGCCGCGACUCAGUCAUCCGCAUCUGGAACACGCGUAAUCUUGAGGACCCCUACAUUCAGUCCAUGGAGCAUCAUACAGAUUGGGUCAAUGAUGUUGUGCUAUGUUGCGGUGGCAAAAACUUGAUAUCCGCCUCUAGUGACACAACUGUCAAGGUCUGGAACGCCUACAAAGGUUUCUGCAUGUCCACACUCCGUACACACAAGGAUUAUGUGAAAGCCCUAGCCUAUGCGAAAGACAGAGAACGAGUUGCUUCAGCAGGUCUUGAUCGAGUAAUCUUCCUCUGGGAUGUCAAUGUCCUGACCGCCCUAACUGCGUCCAACAACACGGUGACCACAUCUUCACUGACAGACAACAAGGACAGCAUCUACAGCCUGGCGAUGAACCCACCGGGCACGGUGAUUGUUUCGGGAUCCACUGAGAAAGUGAUCCGUGUUUGGGACCCCAGGACAUGCCAGAAGAUGCCGAAACUCAAGGGUCAUACAGACAAUGUCAAAGCACUUGUUCUCAAUCGGGAGGGCACACAGUGCCUGUCUGGUAGCUCAGAUGGGACAAUUCGGCUGUGGUCGCUGGGGCAGCAGCGGUGCGUAGCCACGAUACGAGUUCACGACGAAGGCGUUUGGGCGCUGCAAGUGAAUGAAAGCUUCACGACUGUGUUUUCCGGUGGUCGAGAUCGAAAGAUAUUUAUGACUGACUUGAGGAACCCCGACAAUCGUGCACUUGUCUGCGAGGAGACCGCACCAGUUCUCAAAAUGACCCUCUGCAAUGAUACUUCAUCCUUAUGGGUUGCCACUACUGACUCUACCAUCAAAAAUUGGCCUGUGAACAACCGGUGCUCACAGCUGGACGACUACGACACUGACAUACUGGUUCCUCUCAGCCAGAAGCCACAGGCCAGCAUUAAAGGUAAUCCCAGCAUCAGGCAUUAUGCAGUCCUCAACGACAAACGCUACAUUAUCACCAAGGACACAGCUGGCAAUGUUGCUGUGUGGGAUGUCCUCCAUGCCUGUAAAGUAGAAGACCUUGGUGCGGCUGACUUUGAGGCGGAAGUGAAGAAGCGGUUCAAGAUGGUCUUCGUUCCCAACUGGUUUUCAGUUGACCUCAAGAUGGGCAUGUUGUGCCUUCACCUGGACGACCCAGACUGCUUUACAGCCUGGGUUUCCACCAAGGAAGCUGGCUUGGGCCCUCCUGAAGGUCCUGAUCCCAAAAUCAACCUUGGAGCCCUUGUACUUCAGGCUUUACUCGAGCACUGGCCACCAUCUUACCUUCCUCCAGAUCGACCUGAGAACGGCACAGUUGUUGCUCCCACCAUGAAUGGUGGUGACAGGCAGAAGCCUGGCAACCUGUACUUCAGCAUGCCAGAUCACACGCCAGUGACUUUCAGUGAGGUCGGAGGCCGAACACUGCUCAGGUUCCUGGUGGGUGAUGCUGGACGUGAUGCGGAGGAGCUGCUGAUUAAUGAGACCAUUCCAUCCUGGGUGCAUGAUGUAGUGGUGUCUGGAGCGCCUGUCAGCGAGUGACAUGAUACAGGUGCGCAAGGUGAUUGAGCAUGUCUACGAGAAGAUUAUGGGAGCAGGAUCAGACUCAAGUUCGCAGACUCAAGACAGGAGUGGUGACUCCAACGGCACUACUGGUACCGCCACGGACGAUGAGCGAGCUUCUAUUGCUGAGGAGAAGGUUGAACUGCUGUGCCAAGACCAGGUGCUAGAUCCAUCUAUGGACCUGCGAACAGUUCGCCACUUCAUAUGGAAAAGCGGUGCAGACCUGGUGCUUCACUAUCGGCCGAUUAAGUGACACCGGCCAAUGGCGUGGAGCCUUCUCCUCCGCAAGAGCUGCCACCGUGCCGUCGGCACCAUGUUUCUGUGAUAGCCACCACUUCGCUUGGACCACAGGGCCCUAGUUGCCUCCUUCCUGUUUCGCCACCAUUUCUCUGCACACGGCCCCCUCCCGCUCAUUGGGAAGUGGUCGUAUGCUCCCCAGGUGCCCUACCACCCAUCGUCAUCGACGUCAUGCUUUCAUCUUCGCCUCCUGCUCCUACAACAGCCUGCUGCUGUGUUUUAUACAGAAACAGUGACAUUGCGCCUUUUUUCACUCUUUCUCGACACGUUGGCAUGACCAAGCCUGUACAUCAAAUGUGUGGCUUUGGCGUCUUACAGCCUUCAGAGAGAGUGGUAGAGAACUUUUACUGAAUGCAAGUACACUUUUGAGGAGCUCAUGCGCUGACGUCGGUAGCACUGAAAGCAAGUUUCUCAUUCAUUUUCUCAUCUUUGGCAGUAGGGAGCAACCUGCCUGGCCAUUUGUUUAGCCCAGCGUCCCUGUUUCUCAGUGUUCCUGCACACAAUGUGUGGCAUGUUCUGCACUGCUAGUCAUUCAUCGGUGGUAAAGAUGACAGAUCAGUCCAGCAGAACGUUGCCUUGGAGCUUUGAACCGAUACUUUAAUUUACGCCAGAGGAUUGCUAAGUGAGCUCUUUGUUUAACCAAGCAAAUUUUUAUGAAUAAGGAAUUGGGGUCUUUGUUCAGUUAUCUGUCUGAUAAAAUGUGCUUUGUAACAUGUUGAAACUACAGCAGCAAAGUUAAAUUUUAACAUGUCAUUUAAAAAGCAGUCCAUGGCUUUCUUUUAAUAUUAUGUAGCCUGCAAGUAAAAAAAAAAUUGUGCAAGCUGCCUUGAAUUUUUUCAGAACUGCAAACAAAUUUUAUAUGUUUUGUCACCUACCAAGAGCAGCAGUAGUGCAGACUUGUUUUAUUUGAAUGUUCUUUUAGCUUUAUGCAAUUGAUCACCAUUGCUGUUUCUGUAGCAUCUGUUUAGCAAUCAACCAUCAUUGUAAAUUCCACGCAGGCCCUACUGCCAAGGAUCUUUUGCAAGUAGUGUAAUUGCUGCAUUGCUGCUUGUCGGUGCUGUCUAACGCAUAUACAUUACUGCAGAAGUCUUAAGCUUUGAAAGCUGUUCUGUCAGUAGUCUGUGUGUAGCAUGGCUGACAGCAGUGCAGCACAAACAGGCCUAUCAGCAAAUGUUAACAUUGUGCUCGACCCAGAACUAGUUGUUACGUGUUGCAAACAUUUUUUUUUAGCUUUUGUACAAUACUGAAACUGCUGGUAACUCUUAAAGUACCCAACGCACCAUGGUCGAGCUACCACUUUGGAAAUAAAGAACUCUGCUGAAAGGCUAGCCUCAGCUUGCCGUGUUAACUUAAAUGGAAAGUUAGUAGAGGAUUGUUAUGCUGAAAGACAUGACCGAAUGGGACCAUUGUGAUAUGCAGUGUUCUUGGAUGUGAAUAGCCCAUGAUGAUAGCAAUAGGGGAACGCUGUUGUGUGCAAGAUGCUAUUUAUUUUCAUUGUAGUCUCUGACUUGUGAAAAGAAGAGAGUGCUAUUAUGUUGGUAAUGGGGCUUGAGAGGCAGUACACUAAUAUUUCUGUAAACUGUAUUUUAAUCAUAAGGCCACUUUCUGUGCAGCAUGAACUCGUACUGAUAGUUGAUGGCUGACCGCAACGUGCGAGCUGUUGGUGACUAGGCAGGCAAUGUGAAUAACAAGCAAAAGAUUCAUAUGGCACUGCACAAAGUGCAAUCACGCGAGUCUGAUGCAGUUCUGCAGGUUUUGUGUGCAAUGUAGAUAUUUUCAUUAUGGCAGUGAUCCCCAAAGCAGUUUGAAUUAUUAGUGCUUCCCUUAGUUUCUCGAUUUGCCUGAAAACAUUCAAGAUAUCUUCACAACUAUUAAUUGAAUUGCCAGAAACAGAGUAAUCGGCGUCAAAAUUAUUGACCAUCAUUGAGAAUAUUACAUGUUUGUACUGGUACUGUAUGUGAUUGCGUCACUUGUGGCAACCUUCCGUGCAAUGCAUUAUAGCACAUUUCUUUUUGCUGCCGAGGUUGGCCAUGUAUGUCCUAUUCAUUGAGGUGUGCAGCUCCUGAAAUGCAAUGCGCUUAAAUGUUGCCAUCUACAUAUGCAUGCUUUUGCAAUGUGUGCUGCACAGCUUUAUGAAAAAGCAGUGUUGUUCAAUAAUAAUUAAUUCUUGAGUGUUGCUCACUAAUAAGCCUUGGAGUCAUGUUGCAAGAAUGCUUGCCCUGCUUGUGUUUAGGACAGAGCGAAAGAGUUUAGUUCGUACGUUUGUGUAUUUAACGAAUGUGUCACCGACUGCCAAAUGUGCUAAAGGCAAAGGAUCGAUGCAAGUUCCGGUGCUAUCCUGUAGUCAUGCAACGAAAAAAAUUACAUAUGCAUACGUGGAAAAGGCACUACCAAUAAAAUGGCGACCGCAGUAACCUUACACAAGCAAAUUAAUUACUUCUCGGUUCAAUCUAAUUGAUGCGUUAUUGCAGUUGGUAAUUGUGUUCUUGGCUAGGACUAAUUAUAUUUUUCUGUUGCCGUUUAUACUUGUAGCCACGGAUUAUUAACGAAAAUAACUAGUAUGCAAAGGCAGUUUUAGAUUUGCUGCUAGCCGCCAUCCUGAAUGAACAGAUGAGGACACAAGAACACACACGGCAUUGCCCGCGUGCAUGUUUCUCUGACAAGUGUGGCAGGUUGGGUAAGUUGGUAAAUUUGCAUGGUUAUUGCAAAACAGCCCUCAAUAUGAAUUGAGCUCCUGUUAUGUCAACCUUUUCAUUGUCCUUGUCUUUUUUUGAGUGCUUUUUAGCAAUUGCAGUGUCUGCCUUUCGUCCUUGUCUGUUGUGCACUUGUGCCCUAGAAAUGUACACCUGACUUACACAACUUAGCUUCAACUCUUCCUAUUUCAAAUAAGUUCGCUUGUAUCACUUGCCUCUCGGUAAGCAGCAAUAACUGGCAGAUUUUUGUACUUCCUUUUAAAGUUUUUUGUCAGGGGAUUGAAAGGCAUGGAUGUAGAUUUGGUGCGCUUGUGUUCUUAAGUGCACUAUACGGCAUUUCAGAUAAAUUCAGUGUACGUGAGAAGUAAGCGUAGUGUGGCCUAUUAGUCUACCAAAUGCCGAUGUUGGAUUAGCUUCACAUGUGCAAAUUGGACACAUAUUUAAUGCCUUAGUGUCACACCAGCCACUAGACUUUAUGCAAAACUCAACAAGCAAACUUUUCCACGUGGCUGAAAUGCCACCGCUAAAGCAGUGGAUUUCGCACUUGAAAAAGUAAGCAAUGACUUGCUAGCCGAGAGCGAGAAUGGGAAAGCUACCACUCGGGUGGGUUUCAUGCCUUGCGUCCCCUUUGUUCUUGGGUACCAAAACUGCAGAGCUGUUAUUUCUGCUACGUAAAUACAAAUGCUUAUGAUAGGUGCAAAAAUAUUUUAGUCAUGCUUUAUUCUUGGUGUUGCGUCCUCGUGUCCCUGUUUUCUAAGCUUUUUUGUGCGUAACAAGCAGCUUGAGCUCCAUAAUUGUCCAUUAGCAUCCUUCAAGCUGCGUUUAAAAAGCUGCUUGUGCAGUUUUGCAUAUCUCCUCUUCAGGAGGAGUCUCCCAUUGUCGAGGCCGAAAGUUCACCAGAAAAAUACUGACCAUUUUGUUUGUUAGCAUGGAACUCGCCUCUGCACUCACUCGUUCGACUAGAGUGUGCACUUAACAAAUGCAAUGUGCUGCAUCAGUUAGAUAAUUAUAACAGUAUAAAUGAUAAGAAUGCCUCUCAACACAUUGGAAUGCCUUUGAGAAGGCAACACAAUAAGUGUCAUUAUUUAUUUGCCUCUGCAUGUUUGUUGAUGUAAACAGGGAAGUGUAAGUGGGGAGACUGCGAGGGCGUCAGUGCCUGCAUAGUUUGCUGCAUGUAGUUCAAGCCGUCUUGUGCACUGGUUCUGCUUUGCACAGUUGAAUUGUGUCCGACUCCGAGAUGCAGAGCUGCCAUAUGGCUGCUGAAAUCUCCGAUGGGGACGAACAUUAUGCUAAUUGCAGAUUUGUUGUAGCAGUACUUUUUAGGUGUUUGUUGUUUACUGCCAAAGUCACCUGUGGAAAUUUCGUGUACAGGUUUGAGUUUAGCUAGUUUUUUGACGUAAUACUUUCUGUGAGAGCAAUUUUUGCAGUAAACACACAGUGUCAGAGCAUGUAUAAAAGUUGAAUCUUCAGGGUGGCUUGAAAACUGCGUGCUUGACACAUGACUUGAGUGAUAUUUCAGACAUGAGUGGAAGCUGGAUCAUGCAACCUAUUUUAUAAUGUAUGCAUGGAAGCUAGAUGAUGCAGUGUGUACUGUAUGUGUAGAAACUGAAUUGUGCAAUGUGUGCUGUGUUACCCAAGCAUUUUGUCACAGCCGUUUUGUUAGCCCCGCAGUUUGUUUAUUAGCGCAUACGAACGUUGCUUCUUUAUUUUUUUCUGUACUGUGUGUGUAGAUUUUUCCUCUUAGUGCAGCCCAACUUUUGGAUUCAUUUAUAUAACUCCUGAAACACAGUUUUUCUCAUUUUUGUGCUGGAUGGACAAGUUAUGUUACUCAGUAUUUCUUGGUUCCAUUGUUAAUUAAUGGUAAAAUGAUGUCUGCCACUGUAAUAUUGUCCUGUGCUUGUAAUUCUGCAAACCCUGCAAAUGUGCAAGUGCAAUCUCUGGCCAUUGUGCUAUUCAGUCAUUCACCUCUAUGUACACCAGCAGCAUGAACAAGUAGGAUUGAGCAAAUAUUCUAAAUUUUUUAAUGACAGAUCAAAUACUGACCUAUUUGGCCCACUUUUAAAAUCGAAUAGUCAGUAUUCAUAAAUCCAAGUGUACAAUAGGUUUCAAAUAGGUCAGUUAUACAUACAGAGAAAAAGCAUAAGUUUUAUGCCUGCAGGCAUGAGAAGUUGCGCAAUAGAACAGGCUGUGUCACUCAGGGUGUCGCACUUUGCCGGCCUAAGUGCAACCAUUCACACAAUCCUGAAAGCUCCAAGUGUGCGAACAAGCUACACAUUGCUCCCUAAUGCUCUAUUUGUGCUUUUAAUGAGCAAUGCUUCGUAACAUGGAUUGUAAUGACUGUGUGCCAACAUUAUUAAUAUUAGAAUGCAAACAUUGUUUAAUGACUGUGAAAAUGGCCGUCAAUUAUUUGAACACCACUGAAAAUGCGUUUAAGUUUGAAUUGCUUGUGGUUUUAUUUCACCGAGAGCAUGACUUGUCCGCCAGCUGGGAAAUCCGACAUGCUGUUGUCACACACAUUCUUGAAUAUGAACGGCUGUCUGCACCUAUGCACAUAUCAAUUGCUAGCCAAGAAUCAUUGGUAUUGCAAUGCUGACAUUCUUGAUGAAGCAAUCUUGGAACUCUCUGGUUAAGUUGCAGCACCAUUCGCAGAUAAAGUGUGGUCGGUAAAGAGCUUCAGAGCACUGAAUUGGCUCGACUAAAAUAGAGCCUGUUGCAAGCUGUCAUCGCUGGUACCGUGUGUUUUCUGGCACUGCACUAUCAUUGACAGUGGUUUAUGCUCUCUGUGCAUGUACUAAUAGCGGUGAAUGGCAGGGUGGCACUAUGGCCGCAGACAUCUUUAGUUGCAGCUGCCGUGUUGCAGAGCUACACAUGUGACGUUAUCGAACAUGCGUGAGUGACAGUUGCCUGCACAAAGCAUGAAAUGUGGCAGACGGUUAUCUCACCAGAAGGGUGUUGUGCACGUGAAGAUCUAAUGUAAAAGGGAACAUCUAACAAUAUUGAAAUCGGUACUGCAAAAGCGUCAAUUGUUACUAAUGUGACUUGUACUUGUGUUCAGUAAUACGUGCGACACUUUACUGCGAGAAAAAGACUGAGAGCCAAACCAAGUGUUCCUUUUCAUAUCGGGCAACUGUGUACAUCCUUAUACGUGUGCCGUGACAUGCAUUUGCAGCAGCCAUACGAGGAAAAGAAAGUUCUGGCAAUUUACACGCAUGUGUAUUCAAGGGCAUGUCAAGGGUUUGGUCACAGCUUUAUCAUGUCAUGUUACUAGUCAAAGCGGGCGCAAAAUAAUGAGAACUGUGCUGUUCCAUGUUGACGGUGCGUUGUCGUCACUUCCAGCAGCACCUGUAUUUGCUUGGAAAUUAAAUAAGAUUUUUAGUUUUU
rnacentral:misc_RNA from 1 species